UUAAAGAUGUAUUUUAGAAAUCCUGGGUAAUACUUAUUCAGGGGUUGCCACAGAACCCAGAGUGGAGACUGCAGGGAUUAUGGGUUGGUUGUUCCAUCAAACAGACUGAUCACUGAGGAAACGGCAAAGGCUCCACCCAAGUGAUUCAUCACCCAAAUUCAACAGAGUUCCUGCAGGAGUUGGUUGUUAAAAAGAAGCUGGCACCUCUCACCAAUCCCUCUUGAUUCUCAUCUCUCCAUGUGAUAUCUGCUCAGGCUGGCUCCUCCUCACCUUCUACCAUGCGUGGAAGCAGUGUGAGGCCUUCAUCAGAAGCAGAGGUUGGUGCCUUGCUUCUUAUACAGCCUGCACAACUGUGAGUUAA